rnacentral:ncRNA from 1 species
GUCGACCGGUCGGUCAUUCACGUGCCCGACCCACAAGUGGAGGCUCCGCACUCCCACCUCGCUGGCUUCCGGUCGGCAGGUCUCCGGUCAGACGGUCCCCAUCGUUCCGUACGGACGAUGGAGCCGUCCGAGAUGCGCCCCGCGGCUCACCGUGGUGGUGCUCCGGUUGUCAGGAGCCCCGCCUGUGUCCCGUCCGGGGCCUUUUUC